rnacentral:ncRNA from 2 species
GAUCGAAUGGAACUCCGAGCCCCGGGACCUAAAGCGCCAGCCAUGGUCCAGGGCCAAUGGGCGCCUCGGAAACGAGACCGCCUCCCGUGAUUGGAAAGGAGGUAUUCUGUUUCGUUU